UACGUAGGGGGCAAGCGUUGUCCGGAAUCAUUGGGCGUAAAGAGCGUGUAGGCGGCCUGGUAAGUCCGCUGUGAAAGUCCAGGGCUCAACCCUGGAAUGCCGGUGGAAACUGUCAGGCUCGAGUCCGGAAGAGGCGAGUGGAAUUCCUGGUGUAGCGGUGAAAUGCGCAGAUAUCAGGAGGAACACCAAUGGCGAAGGCAGCUCGCUGGGGCGGUACUGACGCUGAGACGCGAAAGCGUGGGGAGCAAACAGG
rnacentral:rRNA from 1 species